rnacentral:rRNA from 1 species
AUGAACGCUGGCGGCGUGCCUAAUACAUGCAAGUCGAGCGAACGGACGAGAAGCUUGCUUCUCUGAUGUUAGCGGCGGACGGGUGAGUAACACGUGGAUAACCUACCUAUAAGACUGGGAUAACUUCGGGAAACCGGAGCUAAUACCGGAUAAUAUUUUGAACCGCAUGGUUCAAAAGUGAAAGACGGUCUUGCUGUCACUUAUAGAUGGAUCCGCGUUGCAUUAGCUAGUUGGUAAGGUAACGGCUUACCAAGGCAACGAUGCAUAGCCGACCUGAGAGGGUGAUCGGCCACACUGGAACUGAGACACGGUCCAGACUCCUACGGGAGGCAGCAGUAGGGAAUCUUCCGCAAUGGGCGAAAGCCUGACGGAGCAACGCCGCGUGAGUGAUGAAGGUCUUCGGAUCGUAAAACUCUGUUAUUAGGGAAGAACAUAUGUGUAAGUAACUGUGCACAUCUUGACGGUACCUAAUCAGAAAGCCACGGCUAACUACGUG